rnacentral:rRNA from 1 species
GUGAGGAAUAUUGCGCAAUGGAGGCAACUCUGACGCAGCCAUGCCGCGUGCAGGAAGAAGGCCUUCGGGUUGUAAACUGCUUUUGUACGGAACGAAACGGUCCUGGUUAAUACCUGGGGCUAAUGACGGUACCGUAAGAAUAAGCACCGGCUAACUACGUGCCAGCAGCCGCGGUAAUACGUAGGGUGCGAGCGUUAAUCGGAAUUACUGGGCGUAAAGCGUGCGCAGGCGGUGCUGUAAGACAGGCGUGAAAUCCCCGGGCUCAACCUGGGAAUGGCGCUUGUGACUGCAGUGCUGGAGUACGGCAGAGGGGGAUGGAAUUCCGCGUGUAGCAGUGAAAUGCGUAGAUAUGCGGAGGAACACCGAUGGCGAAGGCAGUCCCCUGGGCCUGUACUGACGCUCAUGCACGAAAGCGUGGGGAGCAAACAGGAUUAGAUACCCUGGUAGUCC